UUCUGACACCCUUCUGCACACAUAAUUCCUCUUGCAAUCAGUGAAAUUUUAACAUUUGGGUGUAGGAAAGUUUUUCUUCUUUAUUAUCUGGAAAUGUUUGGUAGAAGGGCUAUGUGCAUAAGAUCUAAGCCCUGAAAUGAAGACAUUUGGGCUUCCAGCUCCACACAAGACUUCUCAUUUAACAUUUGUGCAAAGGUCUCCAAGUUACCAGCUGCCUUUACAUCAAAGCUGCCAUUAAAACCUUCCUGUGUCCCACUUCUCCUGUGAGGAUAAAGUCACUAGUAAUAACUAGGUUACAGAUCUAAGGGUGGUGAGGGUAAUCUAAGUACAGACUACAUUUCAUACACACAAACAGGUCAAAACCCCUGUCUUGGAUUUACAGAUACAUUUCAAUGGGGAUGAAAUUGCCUUUACAGAAAUCAGGCUAAGUUCACUGGAAGAUUUCACCAAUAUAAUUGGCAGCAGCUUCCUAGGGAGAGGAACUGCCGGAGGGAUUGGGUACUGGGGGCAAAAGGACAUUAAACACACUCUAUCAGCUGCAGACUGCAGACGGUGCAGUAGCACUCCCACUGAGAGGUAAUGGAUGAUGAAGAGACACGGCCAAAAUGUCUCUGCAAUGCUCAUGAGCCCCAGCUGUGCUCAGGAAGUGAUUUCUUCCUGAAAAUCCAAAAUCUUGGACCCUCCUGCCCUGGAGCAGAGCAAGAAGGAAGAGUGGAGGAGGAAAGUACUUUGAAUGAAAACCACGUGCACAGUGUGUGCAAGGGGGACGUGGCCAAGGCAGCAAGGAAUAAAUCGUAAAAGCGAGAAACAACCUCUGAGCGUUAAGGAAAAGGAAGAAGACGUGGCACGAGGGAUGAGCGUGACUUCACACGCCCUGGUGUAGACUCUGUGAUAGGAGAAGUCACAAGAGCAUUUUGCUGCCAAUGAAGUGGAGUCUUUUCAGUCUACAGUACAGGCAUGACAACCAAAGAAUCUGAAUUAUGCUGUCCUCCAGUCUCUUCUGUCACGCUCCUUUUGGCACUUUGCACAAAGUAGAUGGAUCAGAGUUCACACCUGUGAAGAGCUCUGCUGAAAUUGCAGAAACAAAGGUAUUUGUUGGAAUCCAAUUCCCCAAAUAAUAUGUAGCACUCCUUAUCUCAGAGGGCAUGUACCAGAUGCUAACACAUCAUCCUGCAAGCAACAAGACACUGUCAGCAGCUGUUGAGACAAUGAAAUGGCUGAUUUUAUUUCUCUGAUAGCGAUUUGGUUGCCUGAAGUAGCUCAUUUCUGCCAAAGGUAGACCAUGGUGUUUGAAUGGGGGGAAGCUGAUCAUUAAUGGUAAUUUGCUUUGAUCUUUAUGAAUAUAGAAUUAGAGUGGGAGGUGUGUGCGCUUUAAUUGCCUUCUAGCUUCGCCAAGGCAGACUAAUAUUGACUAAUAUUGAUUAAGUGGGAUGAAAUCCUCUUCUAAUUUUUUCUCCUAAGGAGAAAGCAAA